rnacentral:rRNA from 1 species
ACGGGAGGCAGCAGUGGGGAAUAUUGGGCAAUGGGCGCAAGCCUGACCCAGCAACGCCGCGUGAAGGAAGAAGGCUUUCGGGUUGUAAACUUCUUUUAAGAGGGACGAAGGACGUGACGGUACCUCUUGAAUAAGCCACGGCUAACUACGUGCCAGCAGCCGCGGUAAUACGUAGGUGGCGAGCGUUAUCCGGAUUUACUGGGUGUAAAGGGCGCGUAGGCGGGUCGGCAAGUCAGGUGUGAAAUGCCGGGGCUCAACCCCGGAGCUGCAUUUGAAACUGUCGGUCUUGAGUGAUGGAGAGGCAAGCGGAAUUCCUAGUGUAGCGGUGAAAUGCGUAGAUAUUAGGAGGAACACCAGUGGCGAAGGCGGCUUGCUGGACAUUAACUGACGCUGAGGCGCGAAAGCGUGGGGAGCAAACAGGAUUAGAUACCCUGGUA